GCAGUCGAACGGACUCGGAUUGAACCUAGUGAUUUCCGAGUUAGUGGCGGACGGUUGAGUAACGCGUGGAUAACCUGCCGUAUGCAGGGGGAUAACAGUUGGAAACAGCUGCUAAUACCGCAUAAGCGCACAAUACCGCAUGGUACUGUGUGAAAAGAUUUAUCGGCAUACGAUGGAUCCGCGUCCGAUUAGCCAGUUGGCGGGGUAACGGCCCACCAAAGCGACGAUCGGUAGCCGGCCUGAGAGGGUGGACGGCCACAUUGGGACUGAGACACGGCCCAAACUCCUACGGGAGGCAGCAGUGGGGAAUAUUGCACAAUGGGGGAAACCCUGAUGCAGCGACGCCGCGUGAGUGAAGAAGUAUCUCGGUAUGUAAAGCUCUAUCAGCAGGGAAGAAAAUGACGGUACCUGACUAAGAAGCCCCGGCUAACUACGUGCCAGCAGCCGCGGUAAUACGUAGGGGGCAAGCGUUAUCCGGAUUUACUGGGUGUAAAGGGAGCGUAGACGGCGCUGCAAGUCCGGAGUGAAAGCCCAUGGCUUAACCAUGGUACUGCUCUGGAAACUGUGGAGCUUGAGUGCGGGAGGGGCAGGCGGAAUUCCUAGUGUAGCGGUGAAAUGCGUAUAUAUUAGGAGGAACACCGGCGGCGAAGGCGGCCUGCUGGACCGUAACUGACGUUGA
rnacentral:rRNA from 1 species